GAUGAAACUAACGUUGAUGCCAAUAGAGGUGAGGUGUCUGGAACCAAUCUGGGAAACUCACCUCUCCGAAGUUUGGAUCCACCACAGCAGGCCUGUUCAAAAUCUGAACCUAACGAUGCCUCAGGAGGUAAAUGUACAAUAGGCUUGAAGGAACAGAGAUCUGUUUCUGGUAAAUUUCAGAGGUUAUGGAAAUUUGGACGAAAUGCUGAUGAGGAAACGUCUGAUAGAAGUGGUCUUUGUGAUUCCAUAAAAGCUUG
rnacentral:misc_RNA from 1 species